GAUGAACGCUGGCGGCGUGCUUAACACAUGCAAGUCGAACGAUGAAGCCUCGCUUGCGGGGUGGAUUAGUGGCGAACGGGUGAGUAACACGUGAGCAACCUGCCCCUGACUCUGGGAUAAGCGCUGGAAACGGCGUCUAAUACUGGAUACGAGUGACGAUCGCAUGAUCAGUUACUGGAAAGAUUUUUUGGUUGGGGAUGGGCUCGCGGCCUAUCAGCUUGUUGGUGAGGUAAUGGCUCACCAAGGCGUCGACGGGUAGCCGGCCUGAGAGGGUGACCGGCCACACUGGGACUGAGACACGGCCCAG
rnacentral:rRNA from 1 species